rnacentral:rRNA from 1 species
AAACUGGGUCUAAUACCGGAUAUGACCUCAGGUUGCAUGACUUGGGGUGGAAAGAUUUAUCGGUGCAGGAUGGGCCCGCGGCCUAUCAGCUUGUUGGUGGGGUAAUGGCCUACCAAGGCGACGACGGGUAGCCGACCUGAGAGGGUGACCGGCCACACUGGGACUGAGACACGGCCCAGACUCCUACGGGAGGCAGCAGUGGGGAAUAUUGCACAAUGGGCGAAAGCCUGAUGCAGCGACGCCGCGUGAGGGAUGACGGCCUUCGGGUUGUAAACCUCUUUCAGCAGGGACGAAGCGCAAGUGACGGUACCUGCAGAAGAAGCACCGGCUAACUACGUGCCAGCAGCCGCGGUAAUACGUAGGGUGCAAGCGUUGUCCGGAAUUACUGGGCGUAAAGAGUUCGUAGGCGGUUUGUCGCGUCGUUUGUGAAAACCAGCAGCUCAACUGCUG